rnacentral:sRNA from 12 species
AAUUUUAAACAAUCUACUAGAUAACCAAGUGCAGAGAGGGUGAUACCUCGCUUGGAUUGUGUAUAUAAUUCCCGUUGCGCUUGUUGUGAGAUAUUGCAGGAAGAUAAGCAACUCUCUUCCGGGCGAUCGGAAGAGGUCAUGACGUGAAAGAAGAUUGAGGGUGUACAUAGUAUGGAGAUUGUGCGUAGUUAGAUCAUUAUCAGACGGUGGCGGUGACAAUAGACGCUCUCUGUGAGAGAAUAAUCUGGCUAGGUCUUAUGUAGCAGUAAGAGCCAAACCAGAAAUGCUAAAAUAAACCGUUUUGCACUUGAGGCCGAGCAAUCGGCCAAUAACACCAAAGAUAAGUACAAGUAGCCCAAAUGUGCAGAUGAACGAUACUGAUAUUGUUAUGCUUAAAACAAAUAUUCUGAAUGUCGGGUGAAAGUUGGACGUAACCAGUCGUGCCUAGCCAUUAAAACGCUACGGAAGUUAUAGGGUCGCUCCUUAUGGCUCAGACCGUGGUAGGCUAUCGGUCAAUAAAUUGCGUACAAUCGAAGUAGAGCGAAGGCUCAUUUGAUAGAUUGUUUAAAG